rnacentral:tRNA from 1 species
CAAGAAAUAGUUUAAUAAAAAUAUUAAUUUUGGAAAUUAAUGAUGGAUGGUUUAAUUCUUUCUUGA